rnacentral:sRNA from 1 species
GCCGGGUACAGUGGUGUACACCUGUAAUCUCAGCGGCUUGGGAGGCUGAGGUAGGAGGAUCACAAGUUCAAAGCCAGCCUCAGCAAUGGUGAGGCACUAAGCAACUCAGUGAGACCCUGUCUCUA